CUACGGGAUGCUGCAGUGAGGAAUAUUGCACAAUGGGGGGAACCCUGAUGCAGCAACGCCGCGUGGAGGAUGACGCAUUUCGGUGUGUAAACUCCUUUUAUAUGUCAAGAAAAUGACGGUAGCAUAUGAAUAAGCACCGGCUAACUCCGUGCCAGCAGCCGCGGUAAUACGGAGGGUGCAAGCGUUACUCGGAAUCACUGGGCGUAAAGGACGCGUAGGCGGGUUGGAAAGUCAGGUGUGAAAUCCUACAGCUUAACUGUAGAACUGCACUUGAAACUUCUAAUCUAGAGUAUGGGAGGGGGAGAUGGAAUUUGUGGUGUAGGGGUAAAAUCCGUAGAUAUCACUAGGAAUACCUAAAGCGAAGGCGAUCUCCUGGAACAUUACUGACGCUAAGGCGUGAAAGCGUGGGGAGCAAACAGGAUUAGAUACACCGGUAGUC
rnacentral:rRNA from 1 species